rnacentral:rRNA from 1 species
UGGGGAAUUUUGGACAAUGGGCGCAAGCCUGAUCCAGCCAUGCCGCGUGCGGGAAGAAGGCCUUCGGGUUGUAAACCGCUUUUGUCAGGGAAGAAAUCUUCUGAGUUAAUACCUCGGGAGGAUGACGGUACCUGAAGAAUAAGCACCGGCUAACUACGUGCCAGCAGCCGCGGUAAUACGUAGGGUGCAAGCGUUAAUCGGAAUUACUGGGCGUAAAGCGUGCGCAGGCGGUUUUGUAAGACAGAGGUGAAAUCCCCGGGCUCAACCUGGGAACUGCCUUUGUGACUGCAAGGCUUGAGUGCGGCAGAGGGGGAUGGAAUUCCGCGUGUAGCAGUGAAAUGCGUAGAUAUGCGGAGGAACACCGAUGGCGAAGGCAAUCCCCUGGGCCUGCACUGACGCUCAUGCACGAAAGCGUGGGGAGCAAACAGGAUUAGAUACCCUGGUAGUCCACGCCCUAAACGAUGUCAACUGGUUGUUGGGAAGGUUCCUUCUCAGUAACGUAGCUAACGCGUGAAGUUGACCGCCUGGGGGAGUACGGCCGCAAGGUUGAAACUUAAAUGAAUUGAC